rnacentral:rRNA from 1 species
AAAAGGGGAGGGUAACUGCCAAUAAGGGGGAAUCCGAGUGGCACGCAUAUUGUGUGUCUGUCCACCCGUCUAAAAAACGGGUGUUAGCAAGGGCCGGGCAAGACCGGUGCCAGCCGCCGCGGUAAUACCGGCGGCUCGAGUGGUGGCCGAUAUUAUUGAGUCUAAAGGGUCCGUAGCCGGCUUUGCAAGUCUUUUGGGAAAUCCAGCGGCUUAACCGUUGGGCGUCUGAGAGGUACUACAUUGCUUGGGACUGGGAGAGGCGAGAGGUACUCAAGGGGUAGGAGUGAAAUCCUGUAAUCCUUUGGGGACCACCGGUGGCGAAGGCGUCUCGCCAGAACAGGUCCGACGGUGAGGGACGAAAGCUAGGGGCACGAACCGGAUUAGAUACCCGGGUAGUCCUAGCCGUAAACGAUGCUCGCUAGGUGUCACGGCAGUCGUGAACUGCCGUGGUGCCGUAGGGAAGCCGUGAAGCGAGCCACUUGGGAAGUACGACCGCAAGGUUGAAACUUAAAGGAAUUGGCGGGGGAGCACCACAACGGGUGGAGCCUGCGGUUUAAUUGGACUCAACGCCGGGAAGCUUACCGGGAUCGACAGUUGUAUGAAGGCCAGGCUGAAGACCUUGCCGGACUAGCUGAGAGGUGGUGCAUGGCC